rnacentral:rRNA from 1 species
UACGAAGGGGGGCGAGCGUUGUUCGGAUUUACUGGGCGUAAAGGGCGCGUAGGCGGCGGGCCAAGUCGAGUGUGAAAGCCCCGGGCUCAACCUGGGAGGUGCGCUCGAGACUGGUUUGCUGGAGUUCGGGAGAGGAGCGUGGAAUUCCCAGUGUAGAGGUGAAAUUCGUAGAUAUCAGGAGGAACACCAAUUGCGAAGGCAGCUCGCUGGGACGUUACUGACGCUGAGACGCGAAAGCGUGGGGAGCAAACGGGG